rnacentral:rRNA from 1 species
UACAGAGGGUGCGAGCGUUGUCCGGAAUCACUGGGCGUAAAGGGCGCGUAGGCGGCUACUUAAGCGUGUGGUGAAAGUCCGGGGCUCAACCCCGGAUCGGCCGUGCGAACUGAGUGGCUCGAGCACUGUAGAGGCAGGUGGAAUUCCGGGUGUAGCGGUGGAAUGCGUAGAGAUCCGGAAGAACACCGGUGGCGAAGGCGGUUCUCUGGGCAUGAUCUGACGCUGAGGAGCGAAAGUGUGGGGAGCGAACAGG